rnacentral:rRNA from 1 species
CUACGGGGGCAGCAGUGAGGAAUAUUGCACAAUGGGGGGAACCCUGAUGCAGCAACGCCGCGUGGAGGAUGACGCAUUUCGGUGUGUAAACUCCUUUUAUAUGUCAAGAAAAUGACGGUAGCAUAUGAAUAAGCACCGGCUAACUCCGUGCCAGCAGCCGCGGUAAUACGGAGGGUGCAAGCGUUACUCGGAAUCACUGGGCGUAAAGGACGCGUAGGCGGGUUGGAAAGUCAGGUGUGAAAUCCUACAGCUUAACUGUAGAACUGCACUUGAAACUUCUAAUCUAGAGUAUGGGAGGGGGAGAUGGAAUUAGUGGUGUAGGGGUAAAAUCCGUAGAUAUCACUAGGAAUACCUAAAGCGAAGGCGAUCUCCUGGAACAUUACUGACGCUAAGGCGUGAAAGCGUGGGGAGCAAACAGGAUUAAGAUACCCCAGUAGUC